rnacentral:rRNA from 1 species
UACAGAGGUCCCAGGCGUUGUUCGGAUUCACUGGGCGUAAAGGGUGCGUAGGCGGUCGGGUAAGUCUGAUGUGAAAUCUCCAAGCCUAACUUGGAAACUGCAUUGGAUACUAUCCGGCUCGAGGAAUGGAGGGGAGACUGGAAUACUUGGUGUAGCAGUGAAAUGCGUAGAUAUCAAGUGGAACACCAGUGGCGAAGGCGGCAUCCUGGACCGACAUUGACGCUGAUGAGCGAAAGCUAGGGGAGCAAACGGG